rnacentral:lncRNA from 1 species
UGCUGGAGCCAUCAAUGACAAAGAUUCUGGACUCCUUCGCAGCAGCACCAGUGCCUAUGUCAACAGCAGUGCUGAGGUCGCCUGAGCCCGUUGUAACAAUGUCAGUGGAGUAUCAGAAGUCUGUGCUGAAAUCUUUGGAGACUGUGCCUCCAGAGAUAUCAAAGACCACGCUGGUAGAGCUUCCCAUAGCAAAAGUGCUUGAGCCAUCAGAAACCCUCACAAUAGUAUCAGAGACACCUACUGAGGUGCACCCUGAACCAAGCCCAUCAACAAUGGAUUUUCCAGAGUCAUCUACAACUGACGUGCAAAGAUUGCCAGAGCAGCCUGUAGAAGCACCGCCGGAGAUCGCAGAUUCAUCUAUGACAAGACCUCAGGAGUCACUGGAGCUGCCUAAGACCACAGCGGUGGAGCUGCAGGAGUCGUCGGUGGCCUCAGCCCUGGAGUUGCC